UCGCUCUAGCUGCACGUAGGCUAAAAUUAGAAUGACAUGGGGAAGAUAAGCGUGGCCCCUGCACAUGAUGACUCGAAGGUUCGUGAAGCCUUCUGUGCUUUG
rnacentral:snRNA from 1 species